CCAUUUCAACAAAGGUAGUAUGGAUGCCUGUUCCGAGACUAAGUGGGGCUGUGACAUCAUGUCUAAGAAAUCAUCAGAUUGACCGUUUGAGAUUGGACCUACCUUCCUGACUGUGAAGCAUAGGAAUCAAAAUAUAUAAGCUUGUAAAUCCUUCUCUUAUCAUCUUUUAACUAUUAGGAAUGCCAGUUGGAAUUGAUCAGAGGGCCUGAAAAUCACCUAGAAUACAAUAUUUGGUACACAAAAAUGCUAAAACUAUGGCAAGAUGCCAGAGCCUGAAUUCAGGCUUUUGCCUGAAAACUGGCAUCCCUGAACUAUACUAACAUGUAGUGGUGUUAAAUAAUAGACACUAAUCUACUUUAGUAACAUCGGGUUGGUACGAACAGAAGAUCAGCAGUGGAGUAACAAGUUUGACCGCCUCUUUGCAAUGGUUAACAAACUUGGCCAGCUAAUUACAUGAAAACCCAACAACCAACUAAUCUUUCAGUGCUGUGGAGAAGGAACUUAUGGCUCUUCAUAAAAGAAUUCAGCAUCAGAAAAAAAACCCUGAAAAAAAACCCCUUGUAUAUAGACCUUUCUGAUUAAUGCUGUAUGAAUACGAGUGUGAGUCUGAGAAAAAGCAUCAUAGGGUAACAUAGGGUUGGUCCCAAUCAAAAAUCAGCAAAGGAGUAUCAAGUUUGACAGCCUUUUUGCAAUGGUUAACGAACUUGGCCAAGUAAUUACAUGAAAUCCGACAACCAACUGAUCUUUCAGUGCUGUGGAGAAGGAACUGUUGGCUCUACAUGACAGGAUACAAUCCUGUCUUUCAAUGUUAUCUUUUUCAAAAGGAAGACAGAAAUGAGAAUGACAGAUAAUAUCUGUGCAGCCAAUUGUUUAUUUUCCCCAUGUUGUUUUAAUUAGGUUGGGGAAUUUGUAGAUACUAAAGCAUAUCAACGAAGACACAUAGAACUGGAAGGAGAUGGGACCAAACUAGAAACAAAAUAAUCGGUGAUUUGUUGACACUCUUAAAAGCUGCUGUAUGUUCUUCAUUUAAUUUUUAUUUUGGACAUAAUACAUGGACAUGUGAUUUUAACAGGUAUUACCUUUGUACCUCUGGGAUGAUUUAGAACUGGAUUAACUGAUGACAUCAUGCACUUUUCAUCCUUUUUUUGAUCAAAAUAUUCAAGUCUCUCAGCCAUCAAUGUUGUGUGCUGCCCUAUAUAUUUGACUACAUGUAAGUACUUUCGAAUUCAAUUUCUCCCCUCCUGCAACUCGACCAUUCUGCAUUCUACAUUCCUCAUUUCCUCCAACUUUCACAUUCCUUUUGGUCAUGGAAGGUCAUAAGAAUAAAAAGGUGGUCCGUGCUAGUACUAACACCGCUACUAGUCUCAAUUCAGACCUGGCUGUUUCUCUGAAGGAGCUCUUAAAUGAAGCUGAAUUCGUCGAGGCUCUUGAGAAAUGUGUUGCAAAAAUCCUCAAAGCAAGGAUUGAAAAGAAUGAGGAAAGAAUAGAUAAGCAGGAGGGUGAGAUCCAUGACUUGAGGGUUAACCUAGCUAUGAAGGAGGAGAUAAAGACCCUCAAGUCAUCUGUGGAAAAACUGGAAUCAAGGAUGGCGGCUUGUCAGACUAGGGCUGACGAUCUGGAACAAUACAUUAGACAAAAUAAUGUGCGUGUUCUUGGAGUCCCAGAAGCACCAGUUGAAGACACCCACGAUCAGGUGAUCAAGAUCCUGUCAAACCACCUUGGCUACAACUUGACCAAGGCAGAGAUCGACAGAUCCCAUCGUUCCGGAAAGCCCCGUCCGAUAUUAGUGAAACUGUGCUCACAGAGAAGCUUGCACUGCUGAAAAAUCGAUGAAAGCUGAAGAACUCUGGCUUCUCCAUCCAGGAGGAUUUGACCAGGGCAAAUCACAAGAUUUUAAUGAAACUGGUGAAACACCCCAAAGUGGCUGCUGCCUGGUCAGCUGAUGGAAAGGUUAUAGCUGCCCUGAAAACCUCCCAAGAUGGUGUCCAAAUUAAGAAGGUUAUGAAACUUGCUUUGUUGCAUCUCUGCAACAAGUUACUGCCCUGUGAACUGUUCUUGAGUUCAUCUUUACUUCACAUGUAUAUAGCUAUAAACUGUUAAAGUAGAAGUAUAUAGAUUAUGAAACUUGCUUUGUUAUGUAUCAAUGGAAAGGUUAUGAUAUGGGGAUAACCGUUAUGUGAUUUGUAAUUGAAAAAAAAUUGGAGGGUGGAAAUUGCCAAUUAAAAAGUGCUAAAAUGCCAAUCUGAAUUAUGCCUUGAAUCCGCCUCUGAAAAGGAUUAAUUUUGAUGACAUGUAUGCCUGGACAAGGGACGUGAUUGGCCAUCCCAGCAUAUCCCACAUCAAGCUUCAAUCGCGUGCAAAACCUAUUGUGAAGGUACGUUUUCUGCUCACUGUCGCUGACUACAUCGAUAAUGAAAUGGAAGAAAACCCAGAAGUUUAUUUAGAUUUGGAUUUUGAAAUUGACGAUUUUGAAGAAGGAGAGACUGAUGAUGAAGAUUCCAGCUCGAGUGAAGAACAAAGUGCUGUGGAUGAAGGUGAAGGAGAAUACGCCGGUGAUGGUGGGUCGGAUGGCUCUGAGUCUGACGCUGCUGACCCGACUGCGGUUGGUUACGGAGCUAGAGCUGUGCACGCUGCCGCCGCUCUGGCGUACCAGCAUGAACCACUUCCUCUCGUCAGAGAAUUCGAUGACGCGGAACAUGAAGAAAACAUUGGAGAUGCGAGGCCAAGGGGCAACCAAGAUCAUACAAGGCUUGAUCCCAACAGCACUAAUAUUUGGUAUGUACACUUCUACUGUGACAGAUAUGCUGAUCAUCUGUACAUGAUAUUAAAACUUUGUUUGAUGUAGAAAAAAAAUGUGGGAUCUUCAAAGUUCAAUUUGAAAAUGAAUUUUGAAAUUUGACGUGAGUCUGACCCAUGACAUGUAGAUUUACUGAUCCGAGUGACAGAUACAUGUAGACCCAACCAUCAUGACAAAGACUGAGCUGAAAUAUGUGACUUUUGUCAACUCAUGACACACUGUCAAACAAUUCAAUAUUGAUAAUUGAGAUUUAUUAACUUCAUAUCACAUGCACGCGUUAGUGAUGCCCAACUAUUAAAACUCAAGUGUGAAACCUAAUUACAUGUAAAUCGGAUCUUGCCAAUUUGUCUUUGCACUUUGGCAUAACAGCUUCAUAGGUAUUUCCCAGCUGCUCCUUGUAAUUUUUUUUGAGAACUAGAGUGUUCAUUUUAUCAGAAUUUUUACAAGAAAAUGAAAAAUAGGAAUUUCUAGACUGCCGCUAGUUAUUUCUAUUUUUAGUUUGGAUUUGCCCCAUUUUCUGUGUUGUAGCUUACCCAUAACACAUUUUUCUGCGGUGAAAUACCUGUUGAUUUUGAAAUGAAAUCUACAUGUAGAUGUGUAUUGAUGAAUGCAUUUUUCUUUUAAUUUCCAUCAAAUUUAUAUUUACAUGUAGGUGCCGAUGCGGAGGAUUUUGUCGGGUUCUUCCAUCAUUUUCUGUGGGAGACUGCAUCUGCUGUCGGGAGAUCGAAGAAGUUAGGGUUGAAGCAGAUUUUCACGAUGACCUAUGCAUAACUCAGGUACCUUCCUUUGAUGCAGCAAUUUUGGACCCGGUGUCCCUGUUUAUUGCCUGGCAGCACUUUACUGAGAGGUGGAGACGACAAGCUCGAUCAUUUGCAGCGAGGAAUAAUGAACACAAGGACGAAUUUAAGACAGCGCUAUCCCCCUCAUUAGAUUGGAAGGACAUCAGUUCGUUAGAAAUGCCCUUGGGAAGGAGGAAAAAACAGCAUGUGCCAAAUGUCAAGUUCUAAGUUUCGUACUAGAAGGACAAUGUCAUGACAUGCUCCCCCGAAGAAGGAAAAGAUGUCUUACUUGUACUGCCACAUUUGUAAGAAGAGCAUAAAGGGAUAUAAGUACAACCAGCAUAUGCAAGAACACGAGGCGACUAUGACGCUACGAUGUACAUACUGUUCUUAUGAAACAGAGGGAAGAUCCGAGAUGACAAGGCACUUUGGUAGAGUGCAUAAUAAUAGGAAACAAGAGGCGAAGUAUAUCAACUACACAGCUGCCACGACGGCACAUAUUAGGAAACGUGAAGGGGAGAGGAGGGACAGGGAGGAAGAAGAAAGGAAGACAGAAAGGGAAAGCAGG